rnacentral:rRNA from 1 species
CCUACGGGAGGCAGCAGUGAGGAAUAUUGGUCAAUGGACGAGAGUCUGAACCAGCCACGCAGCGUGAAUGAUGACUGCCCUAUGGGUUGUAAACUUCUUUUAUAAAGGAAUAAAACGAGGCACGUGUGCCUUUUUGCAUGUACUUUAUGAAUAAGGCUCGGCUAACUCCGUGCCAUCAGCCGCGGUAAUACGGAGGAUCCGAGCGUUAUCCGGAUUUAUUGGGUUUAAAGGGAGCGUAGAUGGGUUGGUAAGUCAGUUGUGAAAGGUUGCGGCUCAACCGUAAAAUUGCAAUUGAUACUGGAAGGCUUGAGUGCAGUUGAGGUAGGCGGAAUUCGUAGUGUAGCGGUGAAAUGCUUAGAUAUCACGAAGAACCCCAAUGGCGAAGGCAGCUUACUAAACUGUGACUGACGUUGAUGCUCGAAAGUGUGGGUAUCAAACAGGAUUAGAUACCCUGGUAGUC